rnacentral:misc_RNA from 1 species
GAUGAAGAACGUAGCGAAAUGCGAUAAGUAAUGCGAAUUGCAGAAUUUCCGUGAGUCAUCGAAUCUUUGAACGCACAUUGCGCCCCCUGGUAUUCCGGGGGGCAUGCCUGUCCGAGCGUCAUUACAACCCUCAAGCUCAGCUUGGUAUUGGGCCCCGCCGACCCGGCGGGCCCUAAAGUCAGUGGCGGUGCCGUCCGGCUCCGAGCGUAGUAAUUCUUCUCGCUCUGGAGGUCCGGUCGUGUGCUCGCCAGCAACCCCCAAUUUUUUUCAGGUUGACCUCGGAUCAGGUAGGGAUACCCGCUGAACUUAAGCAUAUCAAUAAGCGGAGGA